UUGCAGUAAGAGCAGCAAGGGUCUGCAGCAGCAACAGGAACCAGUUCUGAGCUGCGAAUGCAGUGGGGUUUCCCCUGCAGCUUCCACCCAUCCUGCCUUGGACAUGCAGGCUCAGAAGUUACGGGGCAAAGAGCACUUCUUACUGCACAUGUCACACUGCGAAAUCAGACUCUGGAGCUGAGUGAUGCUGCCCCGUGGGAGAGCCAGCUUCUCCAGGUCCCACCACCGGCACCCCACACUGAAGUCACACCCAGAGGCCUCUCAGUCUGGCUCAGUGCUUGAGCUGCCCUCUGCGAGACACCCACAGCGCACCCCAGCUGAACCACUACAAUUAAAAUUGCCAGAACCACCAAAUGGCAAGGGAGACUGAUGGAAGCCAGGACCAAGAUCAAAGCCAAAAUCAGAGACCGUGGAGCCAUUAUUAGAGGUGGAGUGGCUUCGAGGAGAGAGGAACUGGGAAGAGGUGGCCAUUAGCAUCAAAGACACCAAGGGACCAGCACCCAAUGCAGCUGAAGGCAAGAUGGCUGGGGGCUGAGUGUGAGAACCCAACUGCACCGUCUACCUGCCGAUCUUGCCUGGACACCGAAUUACCCUGACUUCCCUUCCUCAAGGCCCUGUGGGUGAAGAACGGGCCGGGGAAGGAAGGAAAAGAUGGUUUUUCUAAUAGUGAGCCCACAGAGACAAGCAAAGACACGGACCCAAACUGGUUGGUUAUUUAUUCAUGAAGUCAUUCAUUUAUAGUUUUCUGUAUCUAAAUUCCAGCUAAAAUCUCAUAGUUAAUAAUCAUACAAUCAUGCAAAAGCCCUCGCUGAAAUGGGAUGGUCUUUACUUGA